AAGUAGAUUUUGGGUUAGGAUGUUACAUGAUGUCCCUAAACGCACCACUGACAUCCACACCUUUCAGCCGACAAUUACCUGGCUAUAAGAAACAGCUGCGCUUCACUACUGAGAGAAGGCAUUUGGCAGUCUUGGCAAUCUAAGGUGGCUGCAGCACUAGGCAGUUGAGCUCCACAUAUCUCUUAAGGAAAGCUACUCAGUUGCCCUUAGAGAGUGGUGUGCAUUAGACUGCUGCUGUCUUGCCAGAUGCUGUUUUGUUUGUUAUGCACUACUUUUAUAACGUAUAGUGAUUUGGGAUGUGGUUUUAUGUAGAUCUUUUAUUGAUUGUUUAACGUUUUAUCUUUUCUUUUAUUGUUUUAGUGGAGGUGCGGCCGCUUGUUCAGAGGCUAGGCACAUGAGGUGGAAUCCCCUCCCCGAUGCAUGCGAGUGUACACACCGGGCAUAGGCAGAUUGCACCAUUUAGAGUUUAGUGUGAGUGAGGUUUGCUGUGAAAUCACACGGGUGAGUAAUUGGUGGCACCCUUGGGCACUCCUCCCUGUAGGUUGCCUCCUCAAGUGGCCGGUCUCCACCAUUUUGUCUAGUUGCCUCUUUUAACAUAUUGUGCUUGUUUUAGUGUAGCAUUGUGGUAGGGAGUAUGUCGUUUUAAUCAUUGUUCGGUAAUAAAGUGUUUUAAUUAUUUUACUCUCUUACCCCUGCUACCCUAGGUGCCUUUUUAAUCUUUUAGUUAUGUUUUAGUAGUUCCUCUAAAUAAACUUUUGAAUUAUAAACUUUCUUUGUCUCACCUCUGCCUUUAAAUAACGAGUCUGUGGGCUUUGGUAGCCAGUGCAAUCUUCUCAUUGGCUAGAGAAAUCUUUCCUGGGGUUGUAGCGCCCUCCCCCAGGUGGCGUUGUCACUACUUUAGUAACCGUCCCCGGUUAUCUCAUUUUCGCGACACCACAUUAAGUGGCAUUUUCCGUUGUUCUUUGCACAGGAACUUGUCUUCACAGGCAUUUGAUAAGCAUAGGCAAGGUUUCAUGUUUUAUCAGGGUGAAUCGUCAUUCAGAGUUUACACAAUCACAAGCAAAGCAUAUUUGAAUAAUAAACAAAAUCUUUUCACAGGUGCACAAUUCUGAAUCUGUCAAACCUUUUGCCAACGAAAGAAGAGGGCACUCCUCAUGAGUGUAGAGACCACGUAGAGAAGGAGUGUAAGCCAAGGGAUGACUUACUAGAUGUGCCACUUGGUGAGGGAAAGGUUUGGUUUGUUGAUGGUUUGAGUUUUACAACAGUAGAGGGACAGACUAAAACAGGUUUUACUGUAGUAGAUAGUGAGAAAGUUAUCUGUGCAGGACAACUAGCAUGUUUCAUAUUUGCUUGAGCAGCAGAGAUGCUAGCUUUAACGGAAGCAUGUAAAGCUGCAGAGAAAUAAGAUGUGACAAUAUACACUGAUAGCCAGUAUGCAUUUGCUACGUUACAUUUCUUUGUGGUGCAGUGGGUGAGACGAGGUGUGACAGCCUCUACAGGGAAACCUGUAGAACACGCCAAACUCUGCAAAAUCUGCUGGAGGCAGAGUUUUUACCCAGUAGGAUUGCCGUUUGUAAAUGUGUAGCACACAUGUGACGGCAAGAUCCAGUUGCAUUAGAGAAUGCUUUUGCAGAUAAGAUCGCGAAAGAGGCAACUUUAGGAGAACAUGGUGUUAACGUUUUAGCAGUGCAACGCCAGCAGACGUUGGCUAUUAUGCGUGAUGCACUGGUAGACAUGCAGGGCCACUCAUCUACUGCAGGGAAACAGUUGUGAUUUACAGUAGGAGCGAGCCUGUAGGAUGGUGUUUGUUAUCUGUGUGAUAAACCAAUACUGCCUUAGAAUUUGUAUAAGACUGCUGCUAUUUUGCGCCAUGGGCUUUGCCAUGUCGCAACAGGAGGGAGAUAAUGAGUAGUUUAUACUUUACAAUUAAAUACCCUUAACAAAAUAAAUAAAUAAAUUUUUGCAGGUCAUGUAUGAUAUGUUCAAGCACAAUUCUCGGCGUAAUUUGAGAUCUAAGAGAGGGAAAUUCCCCAGACCCAGUCACCCAUUUCAAGUUAUUCACAUGGACUAUAGAGCUGUCCAGCUGUAAUAACUAUGAGUAUUGUUUAGCGAUGAUGGUUCACAUUUUGUAAAUGAAGUGAUUGGAUUAAUGGCACAACAUCUAGGGAUAACACUAAAAACGUCAUUGUUCAUAUCACCCACAAAGUGCAGGGUUGGUAGAGAGAACUAAUGGAAUAGUAAUGUUAAGACUUAGGAAGAGACACGCAGGACAUGGUUAAACUGUAUAGAAUUAGUUAAGAUGUACAUGAGGAUUACUCCAACAGAGAAUGGUUUGACUCGUUGAGAUUAUAUAUGUUAGAGUAUUUAGAGUUCUAGUCUUCUGUAGUGAUGAUAGGAGAGCAGAAGAGAGAGCAUAUUAGCAGAUUAGAUGCUUAAAAUGUUUAAAAGUAAAGAAGUCUUGAGAACAAAUGAUCUGCCAGAUGAUUCUGUUUCUCCGCAGGAGCAGAGUCUGAAGUCUGGAGAUUGGAUGUUGACAAGGCCAUGGAGAGGAAGUCCUGGUCCAGUCCACGGUGGGAAGGUCCAUAUCGGAUGCUGCUGACGACGACCACAGCGGUGAAGUUGCUGGAAGGAACGCUUGGAUACAUCAAGCGCACUGCAAGAAGGUGACACACAUCCAGGCCAGCUCGGGGUAAGUGGCAGGAAGACCGGGUACAAAGGGGGGGGAAAGCCUCCAGGGCCCCUCGUCUCAAUCCGGUGAAGAAACCAACUGAGCCACAGGUACUCAUCAGAAUGGCUGGGAAUGUGCUGUGCGCCUUGUGCCUGUUAACUCUGAGUGGGAUGACAGGAGCGCACUGGGACAGAGCAAACCACACCCAGUACCCGCAUGGGGUUUUCAACAACUACUGGUGGCAGUUUGUGAACACAACCGCUCACAUAAAGAACAAGACCAAUGGUUAUGCUUGUGAUGCCACUGUCUACACAUUCUUCUGGACUGUGGCCAUAUAGCAUCACUGAGAGUGAGACAGUUUGUUGGUUGCCGUAGCGACACAUCCAGGAGUAAACGUUCUUGGAACACUGCCAACUUUUCAACUUCUGAACCUGACUGGACGGUUGAUUCACCAGUAGCUGGGAAGGUGAACUGCUCUGGUGCGAUAGACCUGAUAGUCUGACUCCAAGUGUCUGACUUGCUGCAGGACAUUGAACAGCUAAAUGAACGGGAAAUAGGCCAGUUGCCUAUGUGUAUGAAGGGCAAUGGAUUAGUCCAAGUUGGAGAUUUACCAUGAAAUCUGAGCAACGUCACCUAUUCUUUGUGUCCUCUGCAAGAAGGAUGCAAACAGAGAAGCUUUUGUCUACAUUUGCAUCAUGAACACUUCUCUAAGCUGGUUGAGGUUGUGAGCCAAGAAGAUCAAAACAGCUUGAUCCAAUUUCCUUUACAAAGCUUUUCCUGUGGUGACAACAGGACAGGACAAGAGUUGUAAAUGCGGAUAAUUUACCAGUUGACUCUAACCCCCAUAGGAUGCCUAUAGUGAGAAGAUUCGGGGGGUUGAUAGGAGUCAUAAAGAAGGGUGUUGACCAGGCUACAGCUUUGAAGUUAGCUGAGAGCCACAUGGACAAACGAUAAAGUCAACUGAUGUGUUUGAAUGUCUAUGUCUGUAUACAGUUGGAUUGUAGUGACAUUUGAUUUUUGAGAAUGUUGAUUCUUCUUGUUUGACUGUUACAUUCAGUUGUUUACUUGCAGGAAUACAUAAUGAAUCGCACGACAGGAGUAGAUGCACCACAAGGCUGGAUAACUUGGUGAAUGUCUGGUCCUUGGUGGCAUCUUCUUUUGAAAAUAUUAAUUCCUGUUUUUGGACUGUUGACACUGAUUUGCUUACGUAUAGGAUGUAGUUUACUGUGUAUGAGAUCAAUGAGAA